GACAGAGGGUGCAAACGUUGUUCGGAAUUACUGGGCGUAAAGCGCGUGUAGGCGGCUACGUGUGUCGGGCGUGAAAGCCCACGGCUCAACCGUGGAAGUGCACCCGAAACUGCGUAGCUAGAGUCCUGGAGAGGAAGGUGGAAUGCUUGGUGUAGAGGUGAAAUUCGUAGAUAUCAAGCGGAACACCGGUGGCGAAGGCGGCCUUCUGGACAGUGACUGACGCUGAGACGCGAAAGCGUGGGGAGCAAACAGG
rnacentral:rRNA from 1 species